UCUAACACAUAAAGCCCCAAAUGAUUUUUUGCAAACCCUAAACCUAAGACAACAAGCAGCCCCAACUCCCCUCUCUCGAACUCACCGGGACUUGCCGGAAAACUCAGCAAACCGGCCGAGUUCACUCAUGGUCCCCUCCCCUCUUCUCUCCUUCUUCCACGUCACUCAUUCCGUACAAAUUUCAUCAUUUCCAUCCGAUUCGAGCGGAUUUCUUUUGUUUUAACAAAAAAUCUAAGCCCUUAAAAUAAAUGUUUGAAAAUGGGAGCCAUUGGAUUAAAAUUUUGAUCCAAGACUUUCAUUUUCUGAUUUUUGUUAAAAAUUAAGAUUUUCGGAUUUGAUUUUGGGGGAACACACGGGCGUUUCUUGGAGAAGAGGAGAAGAAGAUUUGAGAGGGCUAUAUAUAUUGAGAAUUUCGGAGAGAAAUGGAGAAAAAUGAGAGAGAAGGACUCGGGAGAGAGGAAAAUCAAAGAAAAACUAGGGUUCUUGGGUUUUUGGCUCUCUUCUCAAUUUUUCUGUAAAUUGGCAUUCCAAAACAAAUAAAAAUUCAAAAUAUUUUUAUUUUCAUUUUUGUUUGAGUCUUCGUUGCAUUUCGAAAAAAACAGAAAAUUCCAAAAAAAAAACAUUUAGUUUCUUCAUUUGGUUUUGGUUUCAAUAUGGAGAUCGAUUGACCCCAGGUCGAGUUCGCCGUUCAAGUUGUGGUUCGUGUUCGCAUUCCCUGAAUUGGUUCCCUGCUCUGUUGCGUCGUUGCUGAUUCUGAAUUUUCAGUAGCUGUAUGUGUUCUCAAGUUCGUCACCAAAUCUUCUUCUGUUGUGAUCGAUUCUUGCAGAAUUAAUCAAAAGCUUAAUUUCCAGUUUCGUCUUCAUCGUCUUACUCUGUUAAUGAUGGUUUGAAAUAUGAUUAGAAGUCUGAAUUUGCUUGACAUAUUUUGGAGAUAAAUAAUCAAAUUUGGGCGUUAACAGAGAUAACCUCGUGAUUUUCAUAUAGUAUUAAGUUUGGAUUAAGUUACACCAUUUGUGUUCUGUUUUGCUUUGGUAUUUGAAUGUCUUGCAGUUUCGAUUCUGCCAUGUCCUAGCAUUUCGAGGUGUAGUUCAAUUUGAUCCUUUGGUACUUGAUUUGGUAUGUGUGACUGUUUGAAAUAUUAGUGUUUAAUCGUUUUGAGUUCUACACGAUAAAUACGAAAACCAUAGGAUUUACUGUGUUAGUUUAUUUGUUGACAAAGAUC
rnacentral:lncRNA from 1 species